rnacentral:rRNA from 1 species
CAGCAGCCGCGGGAACACGGAGGGCGCGAGCGUUACCCGGAUUUACUGGGCGUAAAGGGCGUGUAGGCGGCCUGGGGCGUCCCAUGUGAAAGGCCACGGCUCAACCGUGGAGGAGCGUGGGAUACGCUCAGGCUAGAGGGUGGGAGAGGGUGGUGGAAUUCCCGGAGUAGCGGUGAAAUGCGCAGAUACCGGGAGGAACGCCGAUGGCGAAGGCAGCCACCUGGUCCACUUCUGACGCUGAGGCGCGAAAGCGUGGGGAGCAAGCCGGAUUAGAGACCCCCGUAGUCCCUGUCUUUUAUAC